CGAACGCUUAGCGGCCUCCCGCCGCUUUCUGCUCUCGGCUGUAGGCACGGCGCAGCCCGGCCCCGAGCCUUUGCGUGUCCAGGGCUGCGCGGACACUCCCGCGCCGCGGGCGAGGCGCGACAGCUGCCGCUGCCCGGAAUAAGAGCUCUUGACGGGACAACGCCGGGGCCUUUAAGCCUCCCCUCGGUUCUCCCGGAUGCAGCUUGACGUAAGAAGGCGACCCGCGGCGCCGCUCGGGAGCCCUCGCGCCCAGUGACGCCGUCCUUCCGCUCCGGCGCUCGGGAAACGUCACUGUGCGUGACGGCGCGCGAGCCGCCAUUUGUUCUGCGCGCGCGCCGCCGCGCGUGGGUACCGCGCAUGCGCCGUGAGCCGAGCGGGCAAGGCGGGUACCGCGUCCAGGUGCGGGCUGGGGGUCGGUGAGCCGCCCGGCAAGGCGGUGUGCCCGCUUACUGGCUUUCUCCCUUCGCGGGCACCGGGAUGGUCCGAGGGCGUCUGCGUUGCUCGUCCGGGAUGAGCGCGAAGUCGAGGACUCGUUCUACCUUCUACCCGUUCGUGCCGGAGCCCGACAAGACGUUCUUACGAAACCUCUUCUGCCGCGUAACGUGAGCGGGCGGGGGGCGAGGGGGGGCGCGGCCCGCGCUGCGCUGCGCCGCUCUGCUCUGCCGGGCAUCGGCACUGUGGCAUCCGCGGGCACUGCGGGCGGCGCGGUGCCUCAGCCAGGCGGGAGAGGCGGCGGUCGGACGCUGAACCGUUAGUUCAGUACGUGUGUAUGGAAUGGAGGUCCUGAAGAGGCCCGUUUGCGCCGACGCAAAGCCGGGGUUGUGGUUUUACCGCAGGGACUGAAGGACGGUGGGAGAAGCAAACAAGCGAAGCGUGCGCGGUGCGGCGGUCUCAGCCCGGUCGCGGGCCGGGCCUGACGCGGUAAGUAAGGUUGGUCCGUUCCGCGCUGCCUUUGUUUGCACGCUGAGCGGCGUAGGAAAGCAAACACUUCGUCAUCCUCGUCCCGAGCAGCAGAGCCGUGCUCAGCUCUCGGCUGGCAGCAUCAGUCCUGGUGGCUGAUCGCUGUGUUGCCGCUACCACAGCGCGGUGCGAGCCCCGCCGCUGGGCUGAGGGUGGCAGAAGCGCGCCCGAAAAUGACACCAGGUGAAGUUAAAGAUAAAAGAGGCUAUGAGAAUACCCGGCCUGUCGAAUCCUUAGGGAACAAAGCCGAUGUGCUAGAAGAGAUUGCUGAACAAACUGUUCAGAUUUGGUAACGAAUUGUCCCUGUGAAGCAGCUGAGCAGCACACAGCUUGGCGCUGCCACAGCUCCUGGGGAGUCCCGCUGUCGGUGUGCAGAGCACCCUGAGAACGUGGCAACAUACGACAAAUGUCUGACCAAAAGUACACUUUUUGUGGAAAUAAUACUUUCAGCUUUUCUAUUAAUUAGGCUGUAAGUGGUAACGCUGUUAUCUUCCUUCAUCUGCUUAAAUUAUUCGUACGAUUCAGUAAUUAGCUACUCCGCAGAGCAGCCUAGUAGUUACACUUCAACCAUGCUGAGCUAACUCACUGUCACGAGCUAACAGGUGAUCGCUGCUCCUGUUACAUAACCUGAUCCCAUUUCAUUUAUGGCAGCCUACAUAAACUUACUAUUUUUGACAGAUUCGAUUGCUGAUGGAAUUACACUGAGAUGAAAAACAGAACUUGAUUGUUGUUGCUUGUGAGAGAGAUUAAAAUGUCCUUUUCAGGGAAUUUAGAAACAAUGCCUUUUGGUAUCAAUAAGUAGAGCCCUCAGUACCUGGCUGGAACGUCAUUGCAGUCCGCUAGGACACCUUGGUGCUGCCUUGGGGAGCUAAAACUCUUGUCUUCUCCAGGCCUGCUUUAAGAGACGUUUCAUUGCUAUUUGUACUGAUGAUUUUGAACAAACAAUGUAGGUAAAUAAUACUCGACAGAAACAGAAAAACCUCACAUCCGAGGCGUAAUGAGAAGUUACAGAGCUUUUCUGUGCUUCGGAGCAACUCGGUGUUCUUGAUCAGCUUAAGCACUGUAGUAGAAUUGUGAGUCAGAAACGUGUAUUUUAGGUGCCUUCACAAGGCUGACCAAGAACCUGGCUGAAAAUAAACUAAAGAAACAGAACAGUCUUUCGAGCUGAAAAAUAGACCAAGAAAGGAAUUACAGGGCAGGCUGUGGGGAGAUCACAGUACGAGUCAUUACACUCAUCUUUGUUGUUGUUUCUGAAGUGCUUAUUUAAAAAUCCCAGGGUAAUGUCAUCUUUAGUUUUUGUUGUCUUUGUUGUCAUACAUUCUACAUUUUAAAUUCAGAUGCCAUGUAGUUAGGAGAAUUUUCUCUGAUAAAAGUUCCUAUAAAGUCUUGGCAGAUAGAACCUGAGCAGCAGGUUGUUGUUACCAUGUCCCAUUAUUUGCAGGGUGCCUUGAAAACGGAGCAAUUCUUUUUUGUUGCUUUUAUGUUAAAUUCAAACUAACCGUGGUGACAGCAAAACCAACUUCUUUUUCUUUCAGAAAUGGGAUUUUUUUAGGCCACAGUUGGAAUUCAGCAACAGAAGUGGUGGUGCAGCUUCUCCAUCAUAUACACUUCUCAUGUUCCUACACCUCUGUUGCCCUCUUCUUGUGAGUGCACAAAUUCAUCUGGGUGUAUGGUAAAAUAGAAUUGAUACACGGGCAAACCAGUGGCUGUGUUUCAAUGGAAGGAAUCCCUGGUCUGGUUUAUCUCACAGCCAUGCAAACAGCUGCACUGACAACAGAAAAAAAUGCACUUGGAACAGUGUCCUGAAAUUGUCACCGCUCCACUGGAACAGACAUCUGAAAAGAGCAAGAGAAAAAGGAGAGUUAGACAGCAGCUUGUGCUGCAGGAGCGGCAGUGUGUGGUGCUGUGAUGGAAACAACAGAGACCAUUUGAUACUUUACUAGGCACAUUCUAAAGAUCAAUCUAAACAUUGUUUUACUCGCAUUCGUUACUCACGUUAGCCUGAGAUGGCUCUGAACUUCAUUGGUAUGGUGUCAGAACACAUGUGGAACGGGAGAUAGAUGUGCUGAAGAAGCUCAGUGGCUGCUGUGCCGACACAGCAGUUAGAGCAAUAGGUUUGUUGACUGAAGCUAACCUGAGAACAAAAGCAAAAGGUCAGCAUGGGCAUUUUUCCCCUACCUAACCAGGUAAUCUUGAAUCAUUCUCUGUAAGCAAGAUCAAAAUCCUGUAUGAUUGUCACCAUUAUUAAGUAAUAUUUGUUUUCCAUCCUGAUGCUUUUUGCAAUUCUAUCAUGUCUUUGUAAUUAGCUUCAGGUGAAUCUGACUAAUUGUGAUUUUAUAUUUUUUUUCCUGGCUGAAAUUUCGGUGGGUGCUGGAGUUGCUGAGCCAUCACUUGGGUAUUCCGUGAAGUCUUUAAGCUAGAGAACCGAAUCCUGCACCCCGAAGCACCCCGACUGCGCUCUGAGAUGCAGUCGCUGAAAUGUACCCUUACUGCUGUGACAGUGGCUGCCAGCGUCCUCCAAGCCUUUGUGUCUCUCUUCAGACAAAACAGACUCGGGCUGCAGCCUGAGAACACUGUAGAUUUUUGAGCAGUAGUUACAAAGCCAGAAGAAUCUCCCCUUCACUGCUAUACUUACAACUCUGGCUGUGCAGAUUAAUGUAAUGAUGUAAGGUGUGUCAGAUGGCUUCCUUCUGCAGGCAGAGAACACCUCUGCAGCCGCUGUUAGCGCAGGCCUCCGGAGGUGCCUCACUGAAGGGACGGUAGGAAAAAAGGGCUACAAGGGUUCUUCUGCUAACAGAACAGGAAGUCCCUUAUCUUCUAAAGCUGCGUGACUCCAUGCUUAAUUGCAGGCUCCAGGCAGAUACGAAACAUGCCUUGCUCAAAUGAAUUACUUGAGCCUGUACAAGCAAUUUCAGGACCUACGGCAUAGAAGCCAGAUGAGACAAUCUAACCCUCAACUCUUUGAAUAAAAGACAAAUAAGUGAAAGAAGAAGAUGAGCAGAGGCCAAGACAGUGAUGAUUUAGUGAAGCACAACAUUAAAAGAACAGGAAAAAAAAAGAAAGUUUACCAAUAAGAAAUCACUUCUGGUUUGAUGGUGACCCUUCCCUAAGGGAUCAUCCUUCUUGGUGCCCUCACAUCACUCCCAAAGUCCAGUAUUUAACACAAAAUUAGGGCUCCUGCGGCUCCUCCUCUUCCUUCAGCCUGCAGAAAGGUUGAUCAUAAAGGCACCCACCUAAUUCCAGUUCUCCCAGUUGUGGGGUAAUCAGCUCAUUAUGCCGAUGACAGAAAACUGUAAUAUAUAUGCU
rnacentral:lncRNA from 1 species